CGCUCUGGUAGCCUAGUGGUUAGGGCGUCCGCAUUGGAUGUGGGAGGUCGUAAGUUCGAGACCCGGUCGAGUCA